rnacentral:rRNA from 1 species
UUCCGGUUGAUCCUGCCAGACCUGACUGCUAWCGGAUUGAUACUAAGCCAUGCGAGUCAUUGUAGCAAUACAAGGCAUACGGCUCAGUAACGCGUAGUCAACCUAACCUAUGGACGGGAAUAACCUCGGGAAACUGAGAAUAAUGCCCGAUAGAACAUUAUACCUGGAAUGGUUUAUGUUCCAAAUGAUUUAUCGCCGUAGGAUGGGACUGCGGCCUAUCAGUUUGUUGGUGAGGUAAUGGCCCACCAAGACUAUUACAGGUACGGGCUCUGAGAGGAGUAGCCCGGAGAUGGGUACUGAGACACGGACCCAGGCCCUAUGGGGCGCAGCAGGCGAGAAAACUUUGCAAUGUGCGAAAGCACGACAAGGUUAAUCCGAGUGAUUUCUGCUAAAGAAAUCUUUUGUUAGUCCUAGAAACACUAACGAAUAAGGGGUGGGCAAGUUCUGGUGUCAGCCGCCGCGGUAAAACCAGCACCUCAAGUGGUCAGGAUGAUUAUUGGGCCUAAAGCAUCCGUAGCCGGCUCUGUUAGUUUUCGGUUAAAUCUGUACGCUUAACGUACAGGCCGCCGGGAAUACUGCAAAGCUAGGGAGUGGGAGAAGUAGACGGUACUCGGUAGGAAGUGGUAAAAUGCUUUGAUCUAUCGAUGACCACCUGUGGCGAAGGCGGUCUACUAGAACACGUCCGACGGUGAGGGAUGAAAGCUGGGGGAGCAAACCGGAUUAGAUACCCGGGUAGUCCCAGCUGUAAACUAUGCAAACUCAGUGAUGCAUUGGCUUGUGGCCAAUGCAGUGCUGCAGGGAAGCCGUUAAGUUUGCCGCCUGGGAAGUACGUACGCAAGUAUGAAACUUAAAGGAAUUGGCGGGGGAGCACCACAAGGGGUGAAGCCUGCGGUUCAAUU